UCACCUCUUUCACCUUUGAACCAGAAGCUGGUGGACCAGCUACACCAGGAAUCAUCUAUAUGUAGUGCAUUUUCCCUUGCCUGGUGGCCCACGUUGUGGCUGAAAGAUGAAGAAGAGGCAGACUCCUCCACAGUCUCACAUAAGAGAUUCGACCAGAUUACUCAAAUUCAGGAGCAAAUGCUUUUGACAAACCAUGUACUGAAUUACCCAUAACCAGUGAGAAGGAUUUGUGCACCAAUAUUCUAUUUCCAGCACUGAGGAGCUGAUGGAAGCAGUGCUGAAGUAUCUUUUUUUGUUCUUGGGAGAAGGAUAUAUGAUGACCACCCUGAAAAAAAUUGCUGCAGAUCAUAGCAACGGCUGCAAAGUGAUGGUGGCAGUAAUCAAAUCAAUGGCAUAAGUGAUGACCAUUCCUCCACUCAAGCUCUCAACAACACUGAAAACUAGAAGCUUAAUUAAUAACUUUUGAAAGGACUGCCAACCAGGAAGGUUGGGACCGCUGCAGCUGGGCCUGUAUCCUGCCAGGACAUCUCACAAUGGAGCUCCUGUGUGAACAUAUCCAGCUCAGACUGCAGCUUAUUGUCCAGGGCUAGAAUCGCCACAGAGGCCCAAGCUCUUAAGUUCUCUGAGCGGGCUUUCUCCAAAAGUAAGAUAGAUAGGGUAUAACUGUUUGAAAUAAAGAAUAUUUUCAAAUGUUGAUUAGACCUAGAGGGAAUUAACAGCAAUGACGAACAUUUCAGAGAUAGCAUUUAGAAGGGCUGUGCCAGCAAUUAUCAAAAAAUAGGUAUGUCAAGCCAACCUCCAAGAUGUCAAGAACUCUGUAAUACUCUGUAAUACUGGUAGACAAAAUACUAUGGUACCAAAUGUGCUUAAGGAGAUGUCUUUUAAAGUAAUUGUUAAACUGUAAAUAAAAGGGCAUGUCUUCUACUCUUUAAAAUUGAUGUAGACCACCACCACA